rnacentral:tRNA from 1 species
GGAGCCGUGCCUGAAGUAAAGGGCCACUUUGAUAGAGUGACUUAUGGGGGUUAAAGUCCCCCCAGCUCCU